rnacentral:rRNA from 1 species
UACGUAGGGGGCAAGCGUUGUCCGGAAUCAUUGGGCGUAAAGAGCGUGUAGGCGGCUCGAUAAGUCUGCUGUGAAAGUCCAGGGCUCAACCCUGGAAGGCCGGUGGAAACUGUCGGGCUAGAGUCCGGAAGAGGCGAGUGGAAUUCCCGGUGUAGCGGUGAAAUGCGCAGAUAUCGGGAGGAACACCAAUGGCGAAGGCGGGACUCUGGGCCGAUACUGACGCUGAAGCGCGAAAGCUAGGGGAGCAAACGGG